CAUAACCCCGGGAAACUGGGUAUAAUACCCGAUAGGUCUCGAUUGCUGGAAUGCAUCGAGAUUUAAAGCUCCGGCGCCUAAGGAUGGGUCUGCGGCCUAUCAGGUAGUAGUGGGUGUAGCGUACCUACUAGCCUACGACGGGUACGGGUUGUGAGAGCAAGAGCCCGGAGAUGGAUUCUGAGACACGAAUCCAGGCCCUACGGGGUGCAGCAGGCGCGAAAACUUUACAAUGCUGGCAACAGCGAUAAGGGAACCUCGAGUGCCAGGUUACAAAUCUGGCUGUCGAGAUGCCUAAAAAGCAUUUCAUAGCAAGGGCCGGGCAAGACCGGUGCCAGCCGCCGCGGUAACACCGGCGGCUCGAGUGGUAACCGUUAUUAUUGGGUCUAAAGGGUCUGUAGCCGGCCGGAUAAGUCUCUUGAGAAAUCUGGCAGCUUAACUGUCAGGCUUUCAGGAGAUACUGUCUGGCUCGAGGCCGGGAGAGGUGAGAGGUACUUCAGGGGUAGGGGUGAAAUCUUGUAAUCCUUGAAGGACCACCAGUGGCGAAGGCGUCUCACCAGAACGGACCUGACGGCAAGGGACGAAAGCUAGGGGCACGAACCGGAUUAGAUACCCGGGUAGUCCUAGCCGUAAACGAUACUCGCUAGGUGUCGGCCACGGUGCGACCGUUGUCGGUGCCGUACGGAAGCCGUGGAGCGAGCCACCUGGGAAGUACGGCCGCAAGGCUGAAACUUAAAGGAAUUGGCGGGGGAGCACCACAACGGGUGGAGCUUGCGGUUUAAUUGGAUUCAACGCCGGAAAUCUUACCGGGACCGACAGCAAUAUGAAGGCCAGGCUGAAGACUUUGCCGGAUUAGCUGAGAGGUGGUGCAU
rnacentral:rRNA from 1 species